UCAAAAAAUUGACAAAGACUCUUAAGUUUAAGGAAGGGGAGGCAAAAAAUAAGGGUAGAGGUCGGGGAAAGGCUAGGCCUCCUUUUGAUAAUGCUUGAUUUUGUAUUUCCUUUUUUUCCUUCAAAUGUUUGAAUGAGUUUAACAAUUGGUUCUCUAAAUGUCCGCAGUAUUAGAUCUUUAGAAAGGAGAUCCGCCAUUUUUGAUUUACUUUCUGGAUAUUCUUUUGAUGUUUUAGGUCUCCAGGAGUGCUGCUUGGAUGGGGAGCCAAAUAUCUCCUGGCCUUAUGGGCAAUCGACGGAGGAGGUUACCGUUCACGGAUCAUGCCUGGAUUGAGUGUGUGGUAAAAGGUGGUGGUGUAAAUUAUAUCCUGAUAUGAAGGGACAGUUGGAGGGACAGAAUCCGCUGCAAUUUAUUUUUUCUGAGGGAAAGUCAUGAAGGGAAAGCUUUUUGUUAUAUGUACAUGUAAAGACAUGCUUCCU